rnacentral:rRNA from 1 species
AGGCAGAUCCUCUUCGGAGGUGACGCUUUGUGGAACGAGCGGCGGACGGGUGAGUAACACGUGGGCAACCUGCCUGUAAGAUUGGGAUAACCCCGGGAAACCGGGGCUAAUACCGGAUAAUACUUUUCGUUGCAUAACGAGAAGUUGAAAGGCGGCUUUUAGCUGUCACUUACAGAUGGGCCCGCGGCGCAUUAGCUAGUUGGUAAGGUAACGGCUUACCAAGGCGACGAUGCGUAGCCGACCUGAGAGGGUGAUCGGCCACACUGGGACUGAGACACGGCCCAGACUCCUACGGGAGGCAGCAGUAGGGAAUCUUCCGCAAUGGACGAAAGUCUGACGGAGCAACGCCGCGUGAGUGAUGAAGGUUUUCGGAUCGUAAAACUCUGUUGUCAGGGAAGAACAAGUGCCGUUCAAAUAGGGCGGCACCUUGACGGUACCUGACCAGAAAGCCCCGGCUAACUACGUGCCAGCAGCCGCGGUAAUACGUAGGGGGCAAGCGUUGUCCGGAAUUAUUGGGCGUAAAGCGCGCGCAGGCGGUCCUUUAAGUCUGAUGUGAAAGCCCACGGCUUAACCGUGGAGGGCCAUUGGAAACUGGAGGACUUGAGUACAGAAGAGGAGAGUGGAAUUCCACGUGUAGCGGUGAAAUGCGUAGAGAUGUGGAGGAACACCAGUGGCGAAGGCGACUCUCUGGUCUGUAACUGACGCUGAGGUGCGAAAGCGUGGGGAGCGAACAGGAUUAGAUACCCUGGUAGUCCACGCCGUAAACGAUGAGUGCUAGGUGUUAGGGGGUUUCCGCCCCUUAGUGCUGAAGUUAACGCAUUAAGCACUCCGCCUGGGGAGUACGGCCGCAAGGCUGAAACUCAAA